UACGGAGGGUGCAAGCGUUAUCCGGAUUCACUGGGUUUAAAGGGUGCGUAGGUGGGCAGGUAAGUCAGUGGUGAAAUCUCUGGGCUUAACCCAGAAACUGCCGUUGAUACUAUCUGUCUUGAAUAUAGUGGAGGUGAGCGGAAUAUGUCAUGUAGCGGUGAAAUGCUUAGAUAUGACAUAGAACACCAAUUGCGAAGGCAGCUCACUACACGAAUAUUGACACUGAGGCACGAAAGCGUGGGGAUCAAACAGG
rnacentral:rRNA from 1 species